UUUGAAUUUGGGUUCGAGUAACGAUCAUCGGAUAAGUGAUUUAACUGUUUAUGUUUUAUUUUUUAUUGUGUUAACCAUAAAUUGAAUACAGCUACAAUCUAUAUUCAUCUUUUGGAGUAUUGCCAAUGCAAUUACAUUUCUGCUUUCAAAGUUUGGUUAACUAGAUUUGAACUGUUACUUGGAGAGUAAUUGAAAAGCAAACAAGAUUGAAUUGUGUAAAUGAGACAAGAAUUGGCCCGAGGCUUGACCAUGAUUUGAAUAACAUGGUUUGAAAGGCAAUCUAGGAAGAAAAAAGUUGUAACAUGAAUGCUAUCAAUUGAAAGGGGAAAAAAGGAGAAAGAAGAUUUUAUACCUGAUGGUUCUACAUAUGGAAAGGAGGAAAAAAGAGCCACACAACUCGAAAAAUAUGCUGCAGGACAAAUGAGAUUGAUGGUGAAGACAAAAAAGAGGAGAUGAAGAAGAAUAAAAAGAACAACAAUAAGAGAAAACAAAAGAUUGACCCUUUUCUAGGAUUCGACCAACAUGUAUGUGGUAUCAGGUUACUUGAGCAAAUAUCAUGCUCAAGAUGGAGAUGAAAAGAAGAAUAACGUAGCAAGAAAAGGUAUCAGUUCAGUGAGUAACAAUAUUCCUGAACAAAGUAAAGUAAAGCUCCAUUGUUUUCCAUUAUUUUCAUAAUAAUAAUAAUUGGACUCUCAAGUUAACAAUAUAAUGCUCAGCAAAAGACAAACGUAACCAAAGAGAGGAAAAAGAAGUAAAAAUUUGAUAAGAAUUGGCAACGGUGAUGAUGAACCCCAUUACCUGUAGAGAUCAUGGAUCAAGUCGUUUGGACACAACUAAUUUUGAAUUAAUGACUUCAGUGUGUAAGGUCUCUUAUCGUCUUCAACAAAAAGUGGUAACUGUUUAUACAAUCGUUUUCCCUAAUUUGGUUCAAUCAAUUAACCAAUUAAGGAUCAUUUGUCAAUCAUUUACAGCAAUAAAAUGAAUCAAUUGCUGCCUACAUAAAACCAAUACAUUUCAAACAAAUCCAAUCUUCCUGUUGAAAUGCUGUGGAUAUGUUCAUUAAAGUACAUCCUCAGUAAUUAAUAAUGAACCUCUCAUUGUGUAAUCCAAUCAACAAACUUAAUUAAAUAAUUGGUAUAAGGCUUUUUAUGUAGCCAAAGGAUGUUGUAAACUAUUAAUACGUGUUACCUGUUAUGUAUAUAUUUGGAGUUAAAUAUUACAAUUCAACCGUCAAAAACUACA